rnacentral:tRNA from 1 species
AGUGGAGUGCCUGAAAAAGGACAAUUUUGAUAGAAUUGGUCAUGCAGCCCACCCUGCCUCCGCUU